rnacentral:lncRNA from 1 species
ACCAAUAGAAUACAUAUAAGUUUUAUUGAAGUAGUAAGUUGCCAUAGUUCUUCUUUCACACUGAUCAUAUAUUUAAAGAAGCAAACACUUAAUCUAUCUAUUAAUGAUUAUGAACUAUUAUACUUAAUAAAAUGGUUUCUUAUGUCCCACGCAGGCGAAUAUGCGGCAGUUAACUGCUUCCUAUAUAUAAAAAUUGUUAUGCACUGAUCACAUGUAUUAUUCUCACCAUAAUAUACAUGAUCACAUUUCUCAAAUCUUACUAACUUCAGCAUAUGAAUGAUAAUUUUGCAGGUCCGUCCAUCUUUAUCGUGCAAGAAGCCACCUCUCCGGUCAAUUAUACAU